GACGAACGCUGGCGGCGUGCUUAACACAUGCAAGUCGAGCGAUGAAGCACCUUCGGGUGUGGAUUAGCGGCGAACGGGUGAGGAACACGUGAGGAAUCUGCCUUCCACUCUGGGAUAACUCCGGGAAACCGGGGCUAAUACCGGAUAUUUUCAACUGGCGGCAUCGCCGGUUGAAGAAAGGUUUGCGGUGGAAGAUGACCUCGCGGCCUAUCACCUUGGUGGUGAGGUAAAGGCUCACCAAGGCGACGACGGGUAGCCGGCCUGAGAGGGUGACCGGCCACACUGGGACUGAGACACGGCCCAGACUCCUACGGGAGGCAGCAGUGGGGAAUAUUGGGCAAUGGAGGAAACUCUGACCCAGCGACGCCGCGUGAGGGAUGAAGGCCUUCGGGUUGUAAACCUCUUUCAGCAGGGAAUAAGCGAAAGUGAAGGUACCUGCAGAAGAAGCACCGGCUAACUAUGUGCCAGCAGCCGCCGUAA
rnacentral:rRNA from 1 species